rnacentral:other from 1 species
AUAUAUCUGGAAUGUUCGAUAACUCCUGUUUAUUUUGAACCUACAUUUACUUUAAACGGGAUUCCUAAAUCGUAGUCGGAUGUCAGGCCUCCUUAGCAGUGGAAGGCAGAAAACUACGUGCGGUUGCCCACCUAGCGUGGCUAGGAGUCAAAAGGCAGGAAACGGCAUCCCGGAUAUAUA